GUUAGCGUGGCAGAGCCCGGUAGUUAAUGCAGAGGGCCUAAGAUCCUCCCACAAAGGUUCAACUCCUUUCUCUAACU
rnacentral:tRNA from 2 species